GGUCUCUAAAAAAAAAAAAUGUAAGGCCCAAAAUAAUUAUUUAUUAUGAAGAAAGUUUAAAAUGAAAUUCAUCAGGAUGUAUAAAAGUGAAUUAUUUAUAAUUGUUGUUUUAUUGCCUUACGUAUUACCGCAAAAUUGGCAGUUUGUGGAUACAAUUAGAAAAUUAUUCAUUAGCGGGAGGAGCGAAAUAGAUUACAUCGGGAUAAGGUAUCCGAUGGUGAGAGAUGGUGUAAGGAGACAGCGGAGUAUUUCGAAAGCUGUGCCAUUUCCAUGUGAUACUAGUAUAGGAAGGUCACAAAUUCCACCCGACAGUGUUCACAAAUUGCGGCCAGGAGACAUUGAUGUAAUCGGCGGAUUGGGUGAUUCUUUAGUUGCGGCCAGUGGUGCAUUAGAAGAAUUUGCUAUCGGCACAUUUAUUGAAGCUCGAGGUGUGAGCUGGUGUGCAGGUGGUCAAGAUAGCUGGCGAAAGUAUUUUACGCUACCAAAUUUAAUAAAAGAAUUUAACAAAAAUUUAACUGGAUAUGCGAUCGGAACUGGCGAAUUUAUAUCCUCAAAGGCAAAAUUAAACGUCGCUUUUCCGGUAGCAGCUACAGAGGACGCUUUGCACCAAGCAAAGAUUUUAGUAAAAAGGAUAAAAAGUAAUAGUAAAAUAGACAUUAAGAAGCAUUGGAAGCUUAUUACAAUAUUUUUCGGAGCCAAUGAUAUCUGUUCAGGGCAAUGCUACGAUCCCAAAGGAUUCUCGUCUUCAAGAUACGCUUGGCAUUUGAGGAGAGCUUUAGACUAUUUAAAACUCAAUUUACCUAGGACUUUAGUCAAUUUAGUACCAACAAUAGACCCGACUGUAUCAGUCAGAGUAGCACGGAGUACCAUGUGUAAUUUAUUGCACCCAUUGUACUGCGCCUGUCUGCAUCAAGGAAAGCGGCCGGACAUCAAAGCUUCAAAAAUGGCACGGCAAUAUCAACAGGCUGUAAAUUCAUUGAUUUCAACCGAAAGGUAUGACAGAUCGCCAGAUUUUACCGUUGUCGUCCAACCUUUCACUGAAUACUUCAACGCGCCAAAUAGUGAUCCUGUAAAUGCUCCAUCUUUUAAUUCACAUAUGAUUACGUAUGACUGCUUUCACUUUAGUCAAAAAGGGCAUGCAUUAGUGGCAAACAUGUUAUGGAAUAAUAUGUUCCAACCAGUGGGAAAUAAAAGUCAUGAUCGUAUGCUCAGAGUAAUGGAAGAAGUUGUGUGUCCUACAGACAAAAAUCCUUACAUUUUUACAAAUGUUAACUCAAAACGUUAUUAUAAAACAGGGAGCCAGGAUGGAGCGAUUUGAAAUUAACAAAUAGUUGUGUAUAUGAUCACACAUGACCAAAUAUGAUCAUAUAUGGUCAUGGUAUGACCAAAAAUGACCAUAAAAAGAUCACUUAAGGCCAUAAGUGGCUUUACACGAUUAUAGUAUGAUAAAAUGUGUUUAUAGAUGACCAAUUCGGUCACAUAUGACCGUAUAUGAUCACGUUUAUCUGUAUGAUUAUACAGAAUCAUGAAUUUCCACAAUAUAUCAUCAUAAAAAAUAAUUUUGCAUGAUCAUAAGUGACCAAAUAUGAUCAUUUAUGAGCACAUAUGGUCAUAGUAUGAUCACAAAUAACCAUAUGUGAACAUAUGACCAUACAACAUAUGGCCAUAUGUGGCUUCACAUGGUCAUAGUGUGACUAAAAGUGGUUAUAAAUCACCAAUUUGGUCACAUGUGAUCACAUAUGACCAAGUAUGAUCACACAUAUCUGUAAUAUUAUACACAGUCAUAAAUUAUCGUAUCUAAUCGUGAUCAUAAAUAGUUAUGCAUGAUCACACAUAGCCAUAUAUGAUCACAUAUGACCACACAUAGUUAUAAGAUCAUACGUAGUCAUGUUAUGAUCGUAAAU